GAGAGAUAAAAUAAUAAUAAAAUGCGCGCGCACUUAACACCUGAAUACAUGCAGUCCUUACCGGCUUUAAGUAUUGAUUCUAUUAUCAAAAUUUUUUAAUAUUACUUAAAUUUUCCGUUAUUUUUUUAUAAAGGAAUUGUUUUAUUAAUAAUAAUGCAAUUCCCAAUAUAUGCGUUUAUCCUCUUUUGUUUUAUUAGUGAGAAUUUAACUAAAAAAGUGACCUAUUCAUUUACCGAAUUUCCUUAUAAAGAAUCAACUAAAAAUGAACUAACUUAUCAAGAGGCGGAAGGGGUAUGUAAAAGUGGUUGUGCAGAACAAAAGAGUACUUCAUUUAUACUUUGUGUAAGAAAAUGCAUAUCUCCCACAUGUUUUAAAGAAGUUUAUGAAAAAGAUCUGAUUGAAGAGGGUGAAAUCGAUGUAAGGUUUAAUUCAUUUAAAGGGUGCUUCAUUCAAAGACACAAUAACUAUUUCAAAACUUGAAUUUUAAUCUUAAUGUUUUGUAUUAAUUAUUAUUCACCAUUUAUGUUAUGUUAUAAUAUGAACUAAAUAAACAACUAAUUUAUA